CCCGCUGAACUUAAGCAUAUCAAUAAGCGGAGGAAAAGAAACUAACAAGGAUUCCCCUAGUAACUGCGAGUGAAGCGGGAAAAGCUCAAAUUUAAAAUCUGGUGGUCUUUUUGCCCAUCCAAGUUGUAAUUUAGAGAAGCGUCUUCCGCGCUGGACCGUACACAAGUCUCCUGGAACGGAGCGUCAUAGAGGGUGAGAAUCCCGUCUUUGGUACGGACCCCCAGGGCUUCUGUGAUGCGCUCUCGAAGAGUCGAGUUGUUUGGGGAUGCAGCUCAAAAUGGGUGGUGAACUCCAUCUAAAGCUAAAUAUUGGCGAGAGACCGAUAGCGAACAAGUACCGUGAGGGAAAGAUGAAAAGCACUUUGGAAAGAGAGUUAAACAGUACGUGAAAUUGUUGAAAGGGAAACGUUUGAAGUCAGUCGCGUCGGCCGAGACUCAACCUUGCUUCUGCUCGGUGCACUUCUCGGUUGACGGGUCAGCAUCAAUUUUGACCGCCGGAUAAAGGUCGGGGGAAUGUGGCAUCCUUCGGGAUGUGUUAUAGACCUCGAUUCGGAUACGGCGAUUGGGAUUGAGGAACUCGGCGCUUCGCGUCCAGGAUGCUGGCAUAAUGGCUUUAAGCGACCCGUCUUGAAACACGG
rnacentral:rRNA from 1 species